rnacentral:misc_RNA from 1 species
GAUGAAGGCGUAGCGAAAUGCGAUAAGUAGUGUGAAUUGCAGAAUUCAGUGAAUCAUCGAAUCUUUGAACGCACAUUGCGCCCCUUGGUAUUCCAUGGGGCAUGCCUGUUCGAGCGUCAUUUGUACCUUCAAGCUCUGCUUGGUGUUGGGUGUUUGUCUCGCCUCUGCGUGUAGACUCGCCUCAAAACAAUUGGCAGCCGGCGUAUUGAUUUCGGAGCGCAGUACAUCUCGCGCUUUGCACUCAUAACGACGACGUCCAAAAGUACAUUUUUACACUCUUGACCUCGGAUCAGGUAGGGAUACCCGCUGAACUUAAGCAUAUCAAUAAGCGGAGGA